UGUUAAAAAUUUCAUCUCUUUAUAUGAUUAAAAACUGAUAUAGCUAACAGAAUAACCAGACAAUGAUACUUGGCGUGCUACGUGUACUUCAUAUUGACAUACAUUGACUCAUUUUAAUAGUGGAGAUAAAUAAAUUUUUAACA
rnacentral:pre_miRNA from 1 species